rnacentral:sRNA from 1 species
CCGAAACAGGGGACGCAUUGUAAAUCCAACACAAAAAGAAAAAACAAAGAGAAAAACAGAGGCUUAGCAAAGCAUAGAGAAAUGUCCGCUAAUCCAACAAUACUGCAGAGUGAGAAGUUGACCAAGUAUAUACUGGAGACUAGCGUUUACCCUCGAGAAGCCGAGACUCUCAAAGAGCUAAGGAAUGCCACCGCAACACACCCUUGG